rnacentral:rRNA from 2 species
GAAACAGUGGCUAAGAUUGGAUAGGAAGAAAUAAGGCAUCUUUUUUCUUUUAAAAGACCUAGUGAUAGGUAUACUUUAGGAGGGGCUUGCGCCAUAUUAGUUAGUUGGUAGGGUAAUGGCCUACCAAGACGAUGAUGUGUAGCUGGACUGAGAGGUUGAACAGCCACAUUGGGACUGAGACACGGCCCAAACUCCUACGGGAGGCAGCAGUAGGGAAUUUUCGGCAAUGGAGGAAACUCUGACCGAGCAACGCCGCGUGAACGACGAAGUACUUUGGUAUGUAAAGUUCUUUUAUCAAGGAAGAAAAGCAAGUGGUGAACCAUUUGUUUGCCGGUACUUGAUGAAUAAGCCCCGGCUAAUUAUGUGCCAGCAGCCGCGGUAAGACAUAAGGGGCAAGUGUUAUCCGGAAUUAUUGGGCGUAAAGGGUGCGUAGGCGGUCUAGUAAGUCAGUGGUGUAAUGGCAACGCUCAACGUUGUCCGGCUAUUGAAACUGCUAAACUUGAGUUAGAUAGAGGCGAGUGGAAUUCCAUGUGUAGCGGUAAAAUGCGUAAAUAUAUGGAGGAACACCAGAGGCGUAGGCGGCUCGCUGGGUCUUAACUGACGCUGAGGCACGAAAGCGUGGGGAGCAAACAGGAUUAGAUACCCUGGUAGUCCACGCCGUAAACGAUGAGUACUAAGUGUCGGGUUAAACCGGUACUGAAGUUAACACAUUAAGUACUCCGCCUGAGUAGUACGUACGCAAGUAUGAAACUUAAAGGAAUUGACGGGACUCCGCACAAGCGGUGGAUCAUGUUGUUUAAUUCGAAGAUACCCGAAAAACCUUACCAGGUCUUGACAUGUUUUUGCGAAACGGUAGUAAUAUCGUGGAGGUUAUCAGAAACACAGGUGGUGCAUGGUUGUCGUCAGCUCGUGUCGUGAGAUGUUAGGUUAAGUCCUAAAACGAGCGAAACCCUUAUCGUUAGUUGCCAGCACGUUAUGGUGGGGACUUUAACGAGACUGCCAGUGAUAAAUUGGAGGAAGGUGAGGAUCACGUCAAAUCAGCAUGCCCCUUAUGACCUGGGCUACAAACGUGAUACAAUGGCUGUUACAAAGGGUAGCUGAAACGCAAGUUCUUGGCCAAUCCCCAAAAACAGUCUCAGUCCGGAUUGAAGUCUGCAACUCGACUUCAUGAAGUUGGAAUCGCUAGUAAUCGCGAAUCAGCAUGUCGCGGUGAAUACGUUCUCGGGGUUUGUACACACCGCCCGUCA